rnacentral:rRNA from 1 species
AUGGCCACGGCGACACCACAGCAAUGCUGCCUUCCGGCCCGCGCGCGCCCUCCUCCCACCUCCACUCCCCUACGCCUACGCUACCUCACCAGAGCAGCCUCCUCCUUCCACUUCCCGGGCCGCCGCACUGUAACGGCAAGAAGGAGUGGAAGAGCCGCCUUAGCCUUCUCCCCCAGAUGCACGUUGGAGACGGGUGGCCCGGCCUUUGAUCCUCUAGGGCUCUACAGGGAGGACCCGUCCAGUUCUGAUUAUCAGUCUCCCUUCUCGACAUUUUUCGGCGUCCUGUCUCCAGUGUUCGGGAGCUCCAGUGGAUCCAGGAAAGAGAAGUCAUCCUAUGGCCGAGGAGCAGCAGCUGCAAUGGAGGACAGUACUAUUGACUUUGGUGACUUCUUCAAGGGUCCUCUACCCGGGAAGUUUCUGAAGCUCCUUGGGUUUUUGGCAUUGUCUCGACUUGGUGUGUAUAUACCUUUGGGUGGAGUGAACCAAGCAGCUUUUGCUGGUAAUCUUGACCAGAACAGUCUGCUGGGCACUUUAGAUUCUUUUUCUGGUGGAGGUAUUGGCCGGCUUGGUAUAUGCUCCCUCGGCAUUGUUCCGUUCAUCAAUGCACAGAUUGUGUUUCAGCUCCUUACUCAGCUUUACCCGAAAUUGCAAGAGCUUCAGAAAAAAGAAGGGGAGGCAGGUAGAAAAAAGAUUCUUCAGUACACAAGAUAUGCAUCUGUUGGUUUUGCAAUUGCCCAGGCUAUCGGGCAAGUUCUUUUUCUUCGUCCUUAUGUUAAUGACUUCAGCACAGAAUGGGUGCUAACAUCUGUGACUCUAUUGACGCUUGGAUCGGUGUUCACAACUUUCCUUGGUGAAACAAUAUCUGAGUUGAAACUCGGGAAUGGAACAUCUCUCCUUAUUUUUACAAGUAUAAUUUCGUAUUUGCCUGCAUCAUUUGGAAGGACAGUUGCAGAGGGAUUUCAAGCAGGCAAUUAUGUUGGACUUCUCACAAUCAUAUUGUCAUUCUUUUUCUUAGUUCUUGGGAUUGUCUAUGUCCAGGAAGCUGAGAGAAAAAUACCACUGAACUAUGCUUCUCGAUACGGCAGUCGAACUGGAGGACCCCAACGUUCUGCAUAUCUACCUUUUAAGGUCAAUAGUUCUGGUGUCAUGCCUAUCAUAUUCUCUACAUCUUCAUUGGCUUUACCUGCUACUUUGGCACGUUUCACUGGCUUAGAUUUUCUUAAAAAGGCUGCCAUAGCCCUAACUCCAGGAGGUUCUUUUUAUCUUCCAACUAAUGUAUUGCUUAUAGCCUUUUUCAAUUACUAUUACACUUUCCUUCAAUUGGAUCCUGAUGAUCUUAGUGAGCAAUUGAAGCGAACAGGUGCGUCAAUACCGCUUGUGCGGCCAGGAAAAAAUACAGCUGCCUUUAUUAAAACAGUUCUUAGUCGUAUCUCUGUCCUAGGAUCUGCCUUUCUCGCUGUACUAGCUGCUGGACCAUCUGUGGUUGAACAAGUCUCUCACUUGACAGCAUUUCGGGGAUUCGCUGGUACAUCAGUGCUUAUCCUUGUCGGAUGUGCAACCGACACGGCUCGGAAAGUUCAGACAGAAAUAAUUUCUCAGAAAUAUAAGGACAUCGAGUUCUAUGAUGUCAAUAGUUCUGACAAAUGA